CCUACGGGGGGCAGCAGUGGGGAAUAUUGGACAAUGGGGGGAACCCUGAUCCAGCGACGCCGCGUGAGUGAAGAAGUAUUUCGGUAUGUAAAGCUCUAUCAGCAGGGAAGAAAGAAAUGACGGUACCUGACUAAGAAGCCCCGGCUAACUACGUGCCAGCAGCCGCGGUAAUACGUAGGGGGCAAGCGUUAUCCGGAUUUACUGGGUGUAAAGGGAGCGUAGACGGCGAUGCAAGUCUGAAGUGAAAGGCGGGGGCCCAACCUCCGGACUGCUUUGGAAACUGUAUGGCUGGAGUGCGGGAGAGGUAAGUGGAAUUCCUAGUGUAGCGGUGAAAUGCGUAGAUAUUAGGAGGAACACCAGUGGCGAAGGCGGCUUACUGGACUGUAACUGACGUUGAGGCUCGAAAGCGUGGGGAGCAAACAGGAUUAGAUACCCUAGUAGUC
rnacentral:rRNA from 1 species